rnacentral:rRNA from 1 species
AUAGAUACCCAGGUAGUCCACGCCGUAAACCGAUGAGUGCUAAGUGUUAGGGGGUUUCCGCCCCUUAGGUGCUGCAGCUAACGCAUUAAGCACUCCGCCGUGGGGAGUACGGCCGCAAGGCUGAAACUCAAAGGAAUUGACGGGGGCCCGCACAAGCGGUGGAGCAUGUGGUUUAAUUCGAAGCAACGCGAAGAACCUUACCAGGUCUUGACAUCCUCUGACAACCCUAGAGAUAGGGCGUUCCCCUUCGGGGGACAGAGUGACAGGUGGUGCAUGGUUGUCGUCAGCUCGUGUCGUGAGAUGUUGGGUUAAGUCCCGCAACGAGCGCAACCCUUGAUCUUAGUUGCCAGCAUUUAGUUGGGCACUCUAAGGUGACUGCCGGUGACAAACCGGAGGAAGGUGGGGAUGACGUCAAAUCAUCAUGCCCCUUAUGACCUGGGCUACACACGUGCUACAAUGGAUGGUACAAAGGGCUGCCAAACCGCGAGGUUGAGCGAAUCCCAUAAAACCAUUCUCAGUUCGGAUUGCAGGCUGCUAACCG